GAUGCUGGAGUUUUUUGCACUCGUAGGGAGCUGUUUUUUCCACCAGGGGGAGCCACGAGACAGCAUCUACAGGAGGGCGUUUCCACGCACCUGUGCGUUAUCAGCCCCAUCUGCAACAGCUUAAGAGGAGCGGCUGACCGUUUCUCCGGGCCGGAGUGUUUUACCUGUUUGAAAUCCCCUCGUGGAGCUUGAUCGACGACGGCCCGACUGUCUGCCCGCCCUCCGACGCGCCUCCCUUGGCACCGGCCGAGGCUUUUAGCCAUCAGGACCCAGACUCCAGCGUCCAACCUUUUCCCUCCCUGUCUGGCUGACCUCAUCUCAUUCAUCCUCAGAUCGCUGGCGUUCCGGAUCCAGUAGGAUAAGAAACAACUCAUUUUCGAUCUGUUCAACAAUAAAACUUAUUAAUCUGA